rnacentral:tRNA from 1 species
CGCUAUAGAAGCUAAACAGGGCAAAGCAUUAGCCUUUUAAGCUAAAAAAUGGUGCCUCCCAACCACCCUUAGCGA